UACGUAGGGACCGAGCGUUGUCCGGAAUUAUUGGGCGUAAAGAGCUCGUAGGCGGCUUAGUAAGUCGGCGGUGAAAUACCGAGGCUCAACCUCGGCACUGCCGUCGAUACUGCUAUGGCUAGAGUUUGGUAGAGGAGAACGGAAUUCCCGGUGUAGCGGUGGAAUGCGCAGAUAUCAGGAGGAACACCAAUUGCGAAGGCAGCACUCUGGGACGUGACUGACGCUGAGACGCGAAAGCGUGGGGAGCAAACAGG
rnacentral:rRNA from 1 species